AGCGGCGGACGGGUGAGUAACGCGUGGGUAACCUGCCCUGUACACACGGAUAACAUACCGAAAGGUAUGCUAAUACGAGAUAAUAUACUUUUAUCGCAUGGUAGAAAUAUCAAAGCUUUUGCGGUACAGGAUGGACCCGCGUCUGAUUAGCUAGUUGGUAAGGUAACGGCUUACCAAGGCGACGAUCAGUAGCCGACCUGAGAGGGUGAUCGGCCACAUUGGAACUGAGACACGGUCCAAACUCCUACGGGAGGCAGCAGUGGGGAAUAUUGCACAAUGGGCGAAAGCCUGAUGCAGCAACGCCGCGUGAGCGAUGAAGGCCUUCGGGUCGUAAAGCUCUGUCCUCAAGGAAGAUAAUGACGGUACUUGAGGAGGAAGCCCCGGCUAACUACGUGCCAGCAGCCGCGGUAAUACGUAGGGGGCUAGCGUUAUCCGGAAUUACUGGGCGUAAAGGGUGCGUAGGUGGUUUCUUAAGUCAGAGGUGAAAGGCUACGGCUCAACCGUAGUAAGCCUUUGAAACUGGGAAACUUGAGUGCAGGAGAGGAGAGUGGAAUUCCUAGUGUAGCGGUGAAAUGCGUAGAUAUUAGGAGGAACACCAGUUGCGAAGGCGGCUCUCUGGACUGUAACUGACACUGAGGCACGAAAGCGUGGGGGAGCAAACAGGAUUAGAUACCCUGGUAGUCCACGCCGUAACGAUGAGUACCAGCUGU
rnacentral:rRNA from 1 species